GACGAACGCUGGCGGCGUGCUUAACACAUGCAAGUCGAACGAAAAGAGGGAAAGAGCUUGCUCUUUCCGGAAUUGAGUGGCAAACGGGUGAGUAACACGUAAACAACCUGCCUUCAGGAUGGGGACAACAGACGGAAACGACUGCUAAUACCGAAUAAGUUCCAAGGGCCGCAUGGCCCAUGGAAGAAAAGGUGGCCUCUACCUGUAAGCUAUCGCCUGAAGAGGGGUUUGCGUCUGAUUAGCUGGUUGGAGGGGUAACGGCCCACCAAGGCGACGAUCAGUAGCCGGUCUGAGAGGAUGGACGGCCACACUGGAACUGAGACACGGUCCAGACUCCUACGGGAGGCAGCAGUGGGGAAUCUUCCGCAAUGGGCGAAAGCCUGACGGAGCAACGCCGCGUGAGUGAUGACGGCCUUCGGGUUGUAAAACUCUGUGAUCCGGGACGAAAAGGCAGAGUGCGAAGAACAAACUGCAUUGACGGUACCGGAAAAGCAAGCCACGGCUAACUACGUG
rnacentral:rRNA from 1 species